rnacentral:rRNA from 1 species
UACAGGGGGUGCAAACGUUGCUCGGAAUUAUUGGGCGUAAAGCGCGCGUAGGCGGCUACUUAAGUCGGAUGUGAAAGCCCUUGGCUCAACUGAGGAAGUGCACCCGAAACUGAGUGGCUUGAGUACAAAAGAGGGUCGCGGAAUUCCCGGUGUAGAGGUGAAAUUCGUAGAUAUCGGGAGGAACACCGGUGGCGAAGGCGGCGACCUGGGUUGAUACUGGACGCUGAGGCGCGAAAGCAUGGGGAGCGAACAGGAU